GCGUUCUCCCGUUCCCGCUGGGCCGGCCCGACUCUCAGCCGUGCCCCCGACCCCCGAGCCAGCGCCACGUUCCAUGCCCCCGACCCGACCAGUUCCGGCGCCACGCUCCAUGCCCCCGACCCGACCAGUUCCGGCGCCACGCUCCAUGCCCCCGACCCGACCAGUUCCGGCGCCACGCUCCAUGCCCCCGACCCGACCAGUUCCGGCCCCACGCUCCAUGCCCCCGACCCGACCAGUACCGGCCCCACGCUCCAUGCCCCCGACUCGGCCAGUCCCCGCUCCGAGACUCAGGCUCCCUCCCUCCCAUCCCAUGGUCCUCUCCCACCCUCCCGUUGGUGAUUUGAGGGCCGUCUGGGAUCCGGCCCUUGAGGGGGGGGCUACGGGGUGGGUUAUGGGGGGGGCUGAGCCGCCGCCAAUUGCGGAGGUGUUCCGUGUCCCCGAGCUGGAGCAGACUGCGGAGGUGUUCCGUGUCCCCGAGCCGGAGCCGACUACGGAGGUGUUCCGUGUCCCCGAGCCGGAGCCGACUACGGAGGUGUUCCGUGUCCCCGAGCCGGAGCCGACUACGGAGGUGUUCCGUGUCCCCGAGCCGGAGCCGACUACGGAGGUGUUCCGUGUCCCCGAGCCGGAGCCGACUACGGAGGUGUUCCGUGUCCCCGAGCCGGCGCCGCCGACUACCCCGGAGGUUUCCCGUGUCCCCGAGCCGGCGCCGCCGACUACCCCGGAGGUUUCCCGUGUCCCCGAGCCGGCGCCGCCGACUACCCCGGAGGUUUCCCGUUUCUCAGAGCCUGCCAUUCCUGAGACGUUCCGUGCCCUGUGGUCACCGCUCCGGAGCCGGCGAAAGGACCGCCCGCCGGGCCGACCCCCAGAGGCUCCCCGCUCGUCUGGCCGCCCGCCGGGCCGACCCCCAGAGGCUCCCGGGUGGUCCGACCAACGUCUCGGGUUUCCCUCCCCCCCUCCCCUUGUUUCGCUCUAGUGUGAGCCGCCUGGAAGUCGGCCCUUGAGGGGGGGGUACUGUCACGGUGUGGUUCACUUCCUGUCUUAUUUUGUAGUUUUCUGCCACUCGUGUCCCCGGGUAACUUCACUUCCUGCCUUGUCUCGUCAUCCCCUGUGUUCGUCUAAUAGUUUCCACCUGUGUCCAAUCACCUGCACCUCCCUUGUGUAUUUAAGCAGUGUGUCUCCUGUGUCACUUGUCGCGUCAUUGUCUUUCGUCUUGGAUCGCCGUAGUUUCUUGUCUGU
ensembl:lncRNA